rnacentral:lncRNA from 10 species
CUCCAGUCUGCAGCUCCCAGCGUGAGCCACGCAGAAGACGGGUGAUUUCUGCAUUUCCAUCUGAGGUACCGGGUUCAUCUCACUAGGGAGUGCCAGACAGUGGGCGCAGGUCAGUGGGUGCGCGCACCGUGCGCGAGCCAAAGCAGGGCGAGGCAUUGCCUCACUCGGGAAGCGCAAGGGGUCAGGGAGUUCCCUUUCCUAGUCAAAGAAAGAGGUGACAGACUGCACCUGGAAAAUCGGGUCACUCCCACCCGAAUAUUGCGCUUUUCCGACGGGCUUAAAAAAAGGCGCACAACGAGAUUAUAUCCCGCACCUGGCUCGGAGGGUCCUACGCCCACGGAGUCUCACUGAUUGCUAGCACAGCAGUCUGAGAUCAAACUGCAAGGCGGCAGCGAGGCUGGGGGAGGGGCGCCCGCCAUUGCCCAGGCUUGCUUAGGUAAACAAAGCAGCCCGGAAGCUCAAACUGGGUGGAGCCCACCACAG